GACGAACGCUGGCGGCGCGCCUAACACAUGCAAGUCGAACGGAGCUUAGAGAGCUUGCUUUUAAGCUUAGUGGCGAACGGGUGAGUAACGCGUGAGUAACCUGCCCUGGAGUGGGGGACAACCCAGGGAAACUUGGGCUAAUACCGGAUACGUCCGAAAGGAGAAAGAUUUAUCGCUGAAGGAGCGGCCCGCGUCUGAUUAGCUAGUUGGUGAGGUAACGGCUCACCAAGGCGACGAUCAGUAGCUGGUCUGAGAGGAUGAUCAGCCUCACUGGGACUGAGACACGGCCCAGACUCCUACGGGAGGCAGCAGUGGGGAAUAUUGGACAAUGGGCGCAAGCCUGAUCCAGCCAUGCCGCGUGGGUGAUGAAGGCCCUAGGGUUGUAAAGCCCUUUCGGCGGGAAGAUAAUGACGGUACCCGCAGAAGAAGCCCCGGCUAACUUCGUG
rnacentral:rRNA from 1 species